UGUUAAAAAAUUCAUCCAUUUAUAUUAUUAAAAAUCGAUUUGGCUAAUGAAAUAACUAGUUAGUGACACGUGCCAUGCCACGUGUACUUCAUGCUAACAUACAAUGACCAAUUUUUAAUAGUAGAAAUGGAUGAAACUUUUAACA
rfam:Gossypium raimondii Chr04_contig_1324, whole genome shotgun sequence.